rnacentral:rRNA from 1 species
UGCCAGACUCCUACGGGAGGCAGCAGUGGGGAAUAUUGCACAAUGGGGGAAACCCUGAUGCAGCAACGCCGCGUGGGUGAAGGAGCGUUUCGGCGCGUAAAGCCCUGUCAGCGGGGAAGAAGAAAGACGGUACCCGACCAAGAAGCCCCGGCUAACUACGUGCCAGCAGCCGCGGUAAUACGUAGGGGGCAAGCGUUAUCCGGAUUUACUGGGUGUAAAGGGAGCGUAGACGGCAGCGCAAGUCUGGAGUGAAAUGCCGGGGCCCAACCCCGGAACUGCUUUGGAAACUGUGCAGCUCGAGUGCAGGAGAGGUAAGCGGAAUUCCUAGUGUAGCGGUGAAAUGCGUAGAUAUUAGGAGGAACACCAGUGGCGAAGGCGGCUUACUGGACUGUAACUGACACUGAGGCACGAAAGCGUGGGGAGCAAACAGGAUUAGAUACCCUAGUA